AAAUCACGGUUGUCUUAAGCUAGGACAGGAUAAGUUGUUGUCCACUCACAUUUUAGCCUAAUUCUAUACAGACUUAAGAUGCACCUUGAUGAGAUGAUUGUCAGUUGGAAAGACUUUAUCAAAGCAGCAACAAGGAUCUCUCACUCUCGGCCCCUGUGGACACGAGUGGCACCAGUAUCACCACCUAAACCAUCUGGUUUGGUUUGUUUGGCAGGAUGCAUAGCGAUAAGGGGAGCAAAAACUGCCAUGGUUCGUGCAUGGCCCAGAUUCCCCAAGAUUCCACAGUGGGUAAUAAAAACCGCCCAGAACAUCAUCGGUACCCAUCUACAGCGCAUCAGUGAUACCUGUGAAGACAGAUGUCUGCACAGAGCCCAAAGGAUACUAUAAAGACAUCACCCACCCCAGCCAUGGUCUGUUCACCCUGCUGCUUGGCGAAAGGUCCCUCACCUCCUGCCCCUGUGUCCUUCCCCCCUGUGUGAUUACCUGCCCCGCCCUGAUUUGUUUCACCUGUGUCUCAUUGUCUCACCUCCCUGUGUGCUUUAAGUAGUUUGUCUCUCCCACCUUCUGUGCCACUUCAUCUUAGCUUGUCUCAUGUUCCAGUGAUUAUUUCCUAGUGUUUUUGGUGUAUUUUCUGCUUUCCUCACUGUUGCCCCUUUUUUUGGAUUGCUCGCUUGUGUACCGACCCUAUUGUGAUUAAACUAUCCUCUCCGAUAUCUGCAUUUUGGGUCCA